rnacentral:rRNA from 1 species
UACCAGCACCCCGAGUGGUCGGGACGAUUAUUGGGCCUAAAGCAUCCGUAGCCGGUUCUGCAAGUCCCCCGUUAAAUCCAGCUGCUCAACAGAUGGGCCGCGGAGGAUACUACAGAGCUAGGAGGCAGGAGAGGCAAGCGGUACUCAGUGGGUAGGGGUAAAAUCCGUUGAUCCAUUGAAGACCACCAGUGGCGAAGGCGGCUUGCCAGAAUGCGCUCAACGGUGAGGGAUGAAAGCUGGGGGAGCAAACCGG